AUGGGGGCUCGCUCAGCCGAGUGUAUGUCUGCAUGGGGAUGUGGAAAUGGGGGGUGGGCAGUGGUCCUUGCUGAUGGAGAUAAAUCGACUAAUUGUUGGUGAUAUUUAAAAAGGGGAUUACUGGAAAAAGACAGUGAGAGGAUGACAGGAAGACAUCUUGGACCAGAGCCAAAAAAUAAUAAUAAUCAAGGCAAAUCAAGUCUGCAAUUCGGAGGAAACACCCAUGACUUGGGAAGCUCCCGAUGGGAACAUGGGAACCCGCUGGAGUUCCAAAGCCGAGUCUGGGAAUAUUGUUGUGGGCACAAGAGGACAAGAUUCAGGAGAGAGUCAUGGCAUGCCGGCUUACACAGCUGUGCCACACACUGAGGAAAAAGAAAACCCAAACCAAAUCCACACCAGACCCAAACAGUGAAAGCCAACAUAUAUCCUUUGCAUUGGAGUCUUUGUGCUGGCUCCAAGUCAUCCCAUCUAUUUAAAGCAAUUCCACAACGUGCCUCCUGCUAGUAGCUGCUAGUCCUCUUGCCUGUCUCCAGAAGCUGCCUCGCUGUUGCAGGGUGAUAGUGGGAAGACGUGGUUGGGAAAAAUCAGUUUUCCAUUGGCUGGGCUUCUGGCAAAUGUGCCAGGUGAUUGUUGUUGCCAUUUGGACCGACCUACGGGAGCUGGUUGGGAAUUCCUCUUCUGGUGUCUCCCAGCUGUGGCUUGGGUCUCUCACUGAAUCUAAAGCCUGUUGAUUUGAGCAGACUGGCUGACUAGGAAGCUCCCAGGAUCUGUGUGUCUAUACCUUUCAAUGCUGGGACUAUAGAUGUUUGGUAUGUCCAGUUUUUUCAAGGAUGUUGGAAAUUUGAACUCAGGUCCUCAUGUUUGUACAGCAAACACUUACUUUACCAAGCCAUCUUCCCAGACUCCAGGGCUCCAUUUAAGUAAAAAGUCUGAAUGGUGCUAAUGGCUAUAGGCUCUGGGAGAUUCACUGCGUGGUAGGAAGCUGCUCUUCAUGGAGAGAAAGGCUGUGAAACAAGAUGCGGGCUCUUUGAUCUUGGUUCUCACAGAGGCUCCCUUGGCCCUUCUGUCCCCUAUGGGGAAUGGGUAGAUACAGUGUUGCUUCAAUGCAAUUGGCAGAAGAGGAUCUGCCUGGCUGUUUCUGGAAACUAGCACUUACUUCUUUAAAGGGUCCACGAGACUAUCUGAACUCACAAGGGAGAGCCAAAGUGCUGGAGGUACCCACAGAAUUCUGGGAAGUGUUACAUGUCAUACCAAGAGAGCACGAACAUUCACUAGUAGCACACUCAAGGAUUCCCAGCACCCUGGGCAUGGCUGAAUGGCUGUAGAAAGACGUGCUAGGGAUUCCUUCAAGUCCUGUUGGUACUCAGCUGUGGAGACUGCUGUGGUCCUUCCUUCUCAAGACCUGGUGUUCGGAGGAACAAGAUUUGAAUAACAGAGGGCUUCUCAGCUACAGACCUUGGAUGGCUGUGUUCCCAGAUGUGACCUUUUCAAGUGAAUUUAGAGCUGUGAACCCAGGAUCAAGAUAAGGAGUCUACGAGUGAAGCCAGGAUCAAGACAAGGAGUCUACAAGUGAUAAACUCUGAAUCCAGGAUCCAGGGUAGUACCCACUGGGGCCUAAGGUGCUGGGUGGACCUGGUUAUGAGCACAGCUUCACCAUACCCCAUUUGGAAGCAGGCUUUAUCCUAGCUGAAAGGAUGUCACAAUGAAUGUUAAUGCCACACCAUUUAUUAGAAAAGCAGGGACACUAUAACUACGUGUCUUCCUUCUAAAUACCCCUGUCUUGAUGAAAGUCUACUUAUUUAGAUUUGACAUUCUUGAAAUAAGCAAUAAAGUGAGGUUUGCCUUCUCACUCUUAAA
rnacentral:lncRNA from 1 species